rnacentral:rRNA from 1 species
AUUGAACGCUGGCGGCAUGCCUUACACAUGCAAGUCGAACGGCAGCGCGGGGCAACCUGGCGGCGAGUGGCGAACGGGUGAGUAAUAUAUCGGAACAUACCCUAGAGUGGGGGAUAACGUAGCGAAAGUUACGCUAAUACCGCAUACGCACUAAGGUGGAAAGUGGGGGAUUCGCAAGAACCUCAUGCUCAUGGAGUGGCCGAUAUCUGAUUAGCUAGUUGGUGAGGUAAAGGCUCACCAAGGCGACGAUCAGUAGCUGGUUUGAGAGAACGACCAGCCACACUGGAACUGAGACACGGUCCAGACUCCUACGGAGGCAGCAGUGGGGAAUUUUGGACAAUGGGGGCAACCCUGAUCCAGCAAUGCCGCGUGAGUGAAGAAGGCCUUCGGGUUGU